rnacentral:rRNA from 1 species
UGAGUAACCUGCCCUGGACUUUGGGAUAACCCUCGGAAACGGGGGCUAAUACCGGAUAUGACGGCUCACCGCAUGGUGUGGUUGUGGAAAGUUUUUCGGUCUGGGAUGGGCUCGCGGCCUAUCAGCUUGUUGGUGAGGUAACGGCUCACCAAGGCGACGACGGGUAGCUGGUCUGAGAGGAUGGCCAGCCACAUUGGGACUGAGACACGGCCCAGACCUCCGUACGGGAGGCA